rnacentral:rRNA from 1 species
CCUACGGGAGGCAGCAGUCGAGAAUCAUUCACAAUGGGGGAAACCCUGAUGGUGCGACGCCGCGUGGGGGAAUGAAGGUCUUCGGAUUGUAAACCCCUGUCAUGUGGGAGCAAAUUAAAAAGAUAGUACCACAAGAGGAAGGGACGGCUAACUCUGUGCCAGCAGCCGCGGUAAUACAAAGGGCUCAAGCCUUGUUCGGAAUCACGGGGCGUAAAGCGUGCGUAGGCUGUUUCGGAAGUCGGGUGUGAAAGGCGCGGGCUCAACCCGCGGACGGCACAUGAUACUGCGUGACUUGAGUAAUGGAGGGGGAGCCGGAAUUCUCGGUGUAGCAGUGAAAUGCGUAGAUAUCGAGAGGAACACUAGUGGCGAAGGCGGGUUCCUGGACAUUAACUGACGCUGAGGCACGAAGGCCAGGGGAGCGAAAGGGAUUAGAUACCCUGGUAGUC